AUUCCAGCUCCAAUAGCGAAUACUAAUUCUGCUGCAGUUAAAAAGCUCGUAGUUGAACUUCUGGUAGGACAGAUCCGGCCUUUGGAUGAAUGUCCAUUGUAUGCUGUGUGUCUUGUCUGGCCAUCCUUUAUGUCUUUUAGGCGUAAUCUUUCACUGUAAAAAAAUUAGGGUGUUUCAAGCAAAAGUUAUUUGGAAUAUAUUAGUAUGGGAUGAUAAGAUAGGCUCUUGAGUGCUACUUUGAUGGUUUAUACACUUAGAGAAUGAUUAACAGGGACAGUCAGGGGCACUCGUAUUCCGCCGAGAGAGGUGAAAUUCUCAGACCAGCGGAAGACGAACCACUGCGAAAGCAUUUGCCAGGGAUGUUUUCAUUA
rnacentral:rRNA from 1 species